AAGGACUUCUUUUAAACAGAUGUCAGAGCCCUGGUUAUGUGCUAUUCUUGAAAGACUUGUUUCUUCUGUCUUUUUUGCUGACCAUGGUGUUCUGAGAAUGAUCCUGUAAUAGGCAGGUCUUCAGAGGAAGAGAUAACAUACUUCACAUAGGCAAGGAGCUUACUUUACAUUAGAGGAGGAAGACCUGACCUCUCUUGCUGCAAGUGAAACUGUAUUUUCCCUGCCUUGAAACUACCAGUGAAAUGCAUUUUGGACUGACUUAUAAUGCUGUGAUUUAUGCUUUGGUAUGCUUUGUGAUAUUACAAUGUCCUUUUGCCUUUGUGUUUGAUUUUCUCCCCUCUGAUAAAUUUUACUGGGUAUUUACCCAAAAUGCCCAUAGGAGAGUGAGGCAUUCUCCCUGCUGUUUGCUGCCUCAGAGAAGGA